GACGAACGCUGGCGGCGUGCUUAACACAUGCAAGUCGAGCGGAAAGACGAUGCUUUUGUUGUGUUCUCGAUAGCCGAACGGGUGAGUAACACAUGUGUAACCUGCCCUUGACUUUGUGAUAACUUCUGGAAACUUGGGCUAUUACCGCAUAGGAUCUCCUGCUGCGUGGGGGUGGUUGGAAAGUUACGGCGUUUGGGUAUGUACUCGCAGCUUAUCAGCUGGUUUGUGGGGUAGUGGCUGACCAAGGCUUUGACGGCUAGCCUGCCUGAGAGGGUGACCGGCAUCAUUGGGACUGCGGUACGGAUCAGAAUGGUAUGGGCGGCAGAAGUGGGGAAUAUUGCAAAAUGGGCGGAAGCCUGAUGCAAGAGCGCUGCGUGCGGGAUGCCCGGCUUCGGGUUGAAAACAGCUUUCGCCUGUGAAGAAGCGUGAGUGACGGUAAUGGGUAAAGAAGCACCGGCUAACUACGUG
rnacentral:rRNA from 1 species